rnacentral:rRNA from 1 species
UACGUAGGCAGCGAGCGUUGUUCGGAAUUACUGGGCGUAAAGAGUGUGUAGGCGGCGCUCUAAGUUCGGUGUGAAAUCCCUCGGCUUAACCGGGGAACUGCGUCCGAUACUGGAGGGCUUGAGUGUGGGAGAGGGAUGCGGAAUUCCAGGUGUAGCGGUGAAAUGCGUAGAUAUCUGGAGGAACACCGGUGGCGAAGGCGGCAUCCUGGACCAUGACUGACGCUGAGGAGCGAAAGCCAGGGGAGCAAAGCGGG